AACGAACGCUGGCGGCAGGCUUAACACAUGCAAGUCGAGCGCCCCGCAAGGGGAGCGGCAGACGGGUGAGUAACGCGUGGGAAUCUACCUUUUGCUACGGAAUAACGCAGGGAAACUUGUGCUAAUACCGUAUGUGCCCUUCGGGGGAAAGAUUUAUCGGCAAAGGAUGAGCCCGCGUUGGAUUAGCUAGUUGGUGGGGUAAAGGCCUACCAAGGCGACGAUCCAUAGCUGGUCUGAGAGGAUGAUCAGCCACAUUGGGACUGAGACACGGCCCAAACUCCUACGGGAGGCAGCAGUGGGGAAUAUUGGACAAUGGGCGCAAGCCUGAUCCAGCCAUGCCGCGUGAGUGAUGAAGGCCUUAGGGUUGUAAAGCUCUUUCACCGGUGAAGAUAAUGACGGUAACCGGAGAAGAAGCCCCGGCUAACUUCGUGCCAGCCGCCGCGGUAA
rnacentral:rRNA from 1 species